GCGCCUGUAGCUCAGCCGGAUAGAGCAUCUGCCUUCUAAGCAGGUUGUCGGGGGUUCGAAUCUCUCCAGGCGCG
rnacentral:tRNA from 3 species